GAGCGGGCGAGCGGGCGAAGGAGCGAGCCGGCUGGCGCCUGGGACAGACACCUUUAGGGGCUCUGAGAUUCCGGGGAGGCGGCUUGCUGCAACUCCUGCUGCCACUUCCGAGCCACGAGGUUCCAGUUGUUUGGCUAAAGUGGCCGUGGGCGAGCACACUCCUCUGCGGGGGCGGUCGCCGCUCAGCGCGUGCUCUCGGAGCCAGGACACAUUUGUCUGAAAGCAGAAAGAAAUGCAGCAAGUUUUGGAAAACCUUACGGAGCUGCCCUCAUCUACAGGAGCAGAAGAAAUAGACCUAAUUUUCCUCAAGGGGAUUAUGGAGAAUCCCAUUGUGAAAUCACUUGCUAAGGCUCACGAGAGACUUGAAGAUUCAAAAUUAGAAGCUGUCAGUGACAAUAACUUGGAAUUAGUGAAUGAAAUUCUUGAAGAUAUCACUCCUCUCAUAAGUGUGGAUGAAAAUGUGGCAGAACUGGUUGGUAUACUCAAGGAGCCUCACUUCCAGUCACUCCUGGAGGCCCAUGAUAUUGUGGCAUCAAAGUGUUAUGAAUCGCCUCCUUCAAGCCCAGAAAUGAAUAUUCCUUCUCUCAAUAAUCAGUUAUUGCCAGUGGACGCCAUCCGUAUUCUCGGUAUUCACAAAAGAGCUGGAGAGCCAUUGGGUGUAACUUUCAGGGUUGAAAAUAAUGAUCUGGUAAUUGCCCGAAUCCUUCAUGGAGGAAUGAUAGAUCGACAAGGUCUGCUUCAUGUGGGAGAUAUCAUUAAGGAAGUCAAUGGUCAUGAGGUUGGAAACAACCCAAAGGAAUUACAAGAAUUAUUGAAAAAUAUUAGUGGAAGCGUCACCCUAAAAAUCUUACCAAGUUACAGAGAUACUAUUGCUCCUCAGCAGAGUUACGUCAAUAUGGAGAGGCAUCCAGCCCACGUCCGUCAGGUGUUUGUCAAGUGUCAUUUUGAUUAUAAUCCAUUCAAUGAUAACCUGAUACCCUGCAAAGAAGCAGGACUGAAGUUUUCCAAAGGAGAAAUUCUUCAGAUUGUAAAUAGAGAAGACCCAAAUUGGUGGCAGGCUAGCCAUGUGAAAGAGGGAGGAAGUGCUGGUCUGAUUCCAAGCCAGUUCCUGGAAGAGAAAAGAAAGGCAUUUGUUCGCAGAGAUUGGGACAAUUCAGGACCCUUUUGUGGAACUAUAAGCAACAAGAAAAAGAAAAAGAUGAUGUACCUCACAACCAGGAAUGCAGAGUUUGAUCGGCAUGAAAUUCAGAUCUAUGAGGAAGUAGCAAAAAUGCCACCCUUCCAGCGGAAAACAUUAGUGUUGAUCGGAGCUCAAGGUGUGGGCAGAAGGAGUUUGAAAAACAGGUUCAUAGUACUGAAUCCUGCUAGAUUUGGAACAACAGUGCCAUUUACUUCACGGAAGCCAAGAGAAGACGAAAAGGAUGGGCAGGCAUAUAAAUUUGUGUCCCGAUCAGAGAUGGAAGCAGAUAUUAAAGCUGGGAAGUAUCUGGAGCAUGGGGAAUAUGAAGGAAACCUAUAUGGAACUAAGAUCGGCUCCAUUCUUGAGGUUGUCCAAACCGGACGGACUUGCAUUUUGGACGUCAAUCCACAAGUAAGUUGCAUGGAUUCCACAGCAGUUGUUACUUUUUAGUUUCCUGAGGAGCUUUUGUCUGUGUAUGUAGGCUGUGAGACGUGUGCUUUAUCAAGGUAGAAAUGUGGCUGUUUUUCAGCUCAUUAUGAGUCCAUAGCUAGAUACAUAAAUAAAUGUCAAUCAGACAACCAAGGCUUGGGUAAAACCAUGUGAUUGAACCUGCAGAAGUGCAGUAUUUACUAGAUCAAGUAGCCCUCCUGUCCUCUGGUCCUUACAACUGUUCCUUUCUUCUGCAGUGUCCCCUAAGUCUCAGAGGGGAUGGUAUAUAAAUCUUCUGGUUAAGGCUGUGCAUUUAUCCGUUCAUCCGUCACUUACUCUCAAUCCUGGCACAGCCAUGAGUCCAUCCGUAUUCACCACUGUUCACCAGAAAAGACACUUCUCUGAUUAAGGCCAAGAGUAGCAUUUUUCUAUUGGUAUAAACAUAAGUAUUCAAAAGGCAAUUUACAGUGUGUCAAUUUAGCUAUUUCACUAAUGUUUCUUAAGAUCUUUUCAUCUUUUCUGUGGAGUUGUUUUUUAUUUGUAGGUGUAGGAUUUAGUAGUAUGAUGAUUAUGCAGCACUAAGAAUUCUACAAUCAACCAAGAUUGCGUGUCUGGAUCACUAAAUUUCAUACCUUCCUUAAGAAGGAGAAAAGAGCAACAACACUUGAUUUUACAACAAAAUAAAUGGGUUGGUGUUUUAGAGAAGUUAGGACAGGGAGCACAGGCAGGAAAUUAUGUACUGAACCUUGUGAAGAGACACACAGACUUCAGUUAAUGAGACUGGUGACCAGCAUACUCCGCGUUCUGACACUGUAAAUGCUUUGUACUGACUCUUGCACAGGCACUGAAGGUGCUGCGGACCUCCGAGUUCAUGCCUUACGUGGUGUUUAUUGCUGCUCCAGAGCUAGAGACUUUGCGUGCCAUGCACAAGGCUGUGGUGGACGCAGGAAUCACCACCAAGCUUUUGACGGACUCUGACUUGAAGAAAACAGUGGAUGAAAGUGCCCGGAUUCAGAGAGCAUACAACCACUACUUUGAUUUGAUCAUCGUAAAUGACAAUCUAGACAAAGCCUUUGAGAACCUACAAACUGCCAUUGAGAAACUGAGGACGGAGCCACAGUGGGUCCCCAUUAGCUGGGUGUACUGAUGAUUCAGUGAGGUUAACAGUUAAAUAAAACUUUAAAACAGUGACUCAACAAGUAAACCUUCUGCUGGAGAGCACACGCAGAGGGACAGGCGCCUGCCGGCCGCACCCGGGCAUUUUUAUUGUGUAGAUUGAAGUAACAGUGCACUAGGCGGAAUUUUUAUAUAAUUGUGGUUGGGAAGGUGUACUAAUAUAUAAUUUCUCUUAAUUUUUCUAACUUUUUAUGGAUAAAACCUUUCUAUUCAUAUACCACAUAAAGAAAUGCGUUGAAGCAUUUGUAAGUUUUGAUUUAGUACCCUUACCUUUUCAUCAAAGGAAUUUUCAGAUCAUUCUCUCCAACAGCUCAUAUUUUCACUGUGAUAAUGAAUACUUGAAAUAGUUUUGUAAUGCUAUCAUUCUCAUAAGUGGUUAGUGAAGGGUCAAUUAUUCUCUUAUUAGGGGAAAAAACCAGUAGCUAUUGACCUUUUUCAUGAACCUCGUUACAGAAGCAGAAUUUAAAUCCCAGUGUUCUAGCUAGUCCACACUAUCCUGAUCUGCUCAGUGCCCCCUCUGCUCCAGAGUGCGGCUGUUCAUCUCAUCUGUACAGAUAAAUCAGCUCCCCUCACCCCCCAGUGAACACAGCGAAGAGCGAUAGCUUGCACUCUCUAUGGGAUUAUUCUUUCCAUUUGUCACAGUGAUGUGCUGAUGCCGACUGAUGUCGAAUAUUAGUUAUGGAGGCUCAGGUGGAAGCCUGGUCAUGCACACAGAGAGUGCCUUAUCCUGCAAAACUUUACUCAACUUAGAGAACAUUUACUUAUUUUCAAAUAUAAAAUUUCAAACCUAUUACUUCAGUUUGGUUUAUUAAGAAUAGUCAGCAAAAAUAUGCCUGUGCAAAUGUUUGUGAUAUUUAAAGAUGUCUCUAAGCUGCAAGCUGUUUGUCAAUCAUCAAAUGUGAUUUCUGAAACAGGAAGUGAUUUGUUAGGGUAGUCUCUGUUUUGUCAAAAACCAAAUCCAUUGAACGAACGGUUUACAAGAUUUGGAAAUAAUUGCCAGUUAUUGAUACAUACACACACCUAGCAUCAUUAUGUAAUAGAUACUAAGUAAUGGCCUAUACUCUUUAGAUUUCUGUUAAAAGUACACUUUUUUGUUUUAAGAUUAGGAACCAAGUCCUUUAGCUGCAUUGACACUGUAUACUGAUUUCCACGGUCACCUGGGUUGAUGCCCUCCUCUAGGAUUCCUGAAUGGUACAUGUUCUUCCAUGAACAUUGACACAUACUGAGACAGAGCAUCACUGAGCUUAGUUAACCUUAGUGUAUAUUGCUGCCAGCUUUUCAGUCAGAAGACUCAUGCUUUAAAGGGUUUGGUGCCUAAAUACUGAUGAUGUUUUUGGUGACAAGCUCUAGACAUCUGACUUCUGAUUUUGGCUUUCCCCUCAUCAGAGUUAUGUAUCCAUUUGUAUGAAGAUUGAUAUUGCUAAACACAGAUAUGCAUACAAAGGUACUUAUAUAUGGUAAGAAGCAAUAUUAUACAUUGUUUUAAAUUACUUUCAUAAUAAAACAUAAGUUACCAUAUUAAUAAUUUGUAAUCUUCAGGCUUUUAAAUUUUAAUUCUAGAAUUUCAUAGCCAAAAUAUAUAUUCACACACACACACAAAACACACACACACACACACACAUACAUAACCUUUCUCAUGUUAAAUAUAAAAUUGCAUAAUGCAUAUCUCUGAACUUAACAUUGUUUCUGUUAUAAAUGGUACUCAUGAUUCAUCAGCAUAACCACAUUAGAUUUCUCCUAAUGGAGAUAGGAUAGUUUUGUUCACUAUAAUAUAGAUGCCAAUAUUAUGAAAAUACAAACGUUUCUCAGUGAAAAAUCACUAAAUUUGAAACUCACAUUCCCAUCUGAGUCCAUAGAAGUCAUCAGGCCUCACACAAAGAGUCUUCCUAGGUAAUGUUAACAAGGAAAUGUAUACUUCUCUCAUUGGAAGGGCCUAACAUAACAGACUUAUUUAUAAUAGCUUUACUGGAUAUGAAAGGGCAUACAGUGGUGUUCAAUAAUUGGAAAUAGGUUAAAAAAAUAUACACACACGUGAGUGUGCUUUGGGAAGUUGUGUAUCCCUAAGUAUACUAAAAGAUUAGUGUCCACAUUCAGCAUUCAGGGUGUUGUUAUUUCUUUAUAACUAAUGGUUACAUGUAUAAUUUCAUUUUCAAAUGUGCAAGUUGCUAUAGAAAUGAUGUCUCUGAACAAGUCAUUUAACCAUAGUUAAUGGAGUGAAUUUAAUGCCCUACAGUAGAAUUUUCACCUUCAGUAUUACAGUGCUUUUACUGCACAGUCUCCAUUUCUGUUUUUAGUUAAUAUCCAGGGUCAAAUACAGCAAAAGUGUUUGUUUUGUCUGACUUGAUACAAUUGCAAACCAUAGCUUCCUGAAAUAGGACUAAACCUUAGAUUCUAGAGUAAUUUAUAAUAAGUUGUAAAACACUUCCUUUAAAAUGACAAACUGAUUAUUCAAAGUUAUUUAGAAAAUAGCUCAAGAUAGCAGUAAAGACCAGUAGCAGGGCAUUGAUUAUGGCCAGGCACUAAUCUGGCCAAAAUGAUGAUUAUGCCAGACCUAGUAAUCCCAGCACCCAGGAGGCUGAUAGGAGGAGUGCAAGUUGGAGUCCAGCCUGGGUAACAAGACCCCGUCUCACAAACAAGGGCCCAGGGCUCUAAUUGGGGGAGUGUGCGCCUAACACCGGUGAGAUCCCAGCAACACAAGAAAUGAUCCAAACUUCAGAACAGUACUUAUUUUUAUAUAUAUCAAGUGUCAUGAUCAGUGAUUGAGGUUGAUUGUCAAGGCCACAGAAUUAGUUAUAAUUAUUUUAAAUGGUUAAACUAGAAAUGUAAAAAGCUUGAAACAGUCCUCCACUAUACAGAAUUACAGGGUUGAGGGUCCUACCUCUAUAGUAACUAAUCUUUAUACUAAAUAAGGAAAAGGCAGUUCUGAAGUUUUCUGUACAUAAUUUACUUUGUAAAAACGUGUAUAUGUAUAUAUCCACAUACACACACACACAAAGCUAUGUGUAUAAUACAUUCUUCCAAAAUUGAUGAAUAAUAAGGCUAGAUAUAUUCACCCACAUGUUAGAGUUAGUGUUCUAAGAUCUUUAGUUACUUUCAAAUUCGUAGAUAUUCUGGCCAUAUGUUCUCUUAAAUGGAGCUUUGGCUCCAUCUUGGAGCUGACGUACAAUAUUUCUGAAUAUUUCAUUUAUUAGAAAAACUAAGUUCAGAAAAUUGUCAUUUAUUAUUAGAAUUUAUUUUCUUUAUAAAAAAAAAAAGCCAACAACAACAGACUUUUGCAUGGAGGCUUCAAGAAAUAUUUACUUAAGCUCCAGUGAAAUUGUGCUGACUUAGACUAAAAGACUCUAGUGCCUGCCCUCCUCUUGUUCCAAGGAAUUUGCUGUGAGAAUUCUUACUACAUCUAUAAUGUAUUUGGAAUUCUUGGGAGAAAUUUAGUAUUUUAAAUAAUGAAAUUAUUGUAUAUAACUGAAUAUACACAGAUUUUUUUAAAGAAUACAUUUGAUGAAAAAUUCAGCAUCAUAUUGGUCUUUUUGUAAGUGUACGUGAUACACCUGAGGAAGAUGAUCAUUCUCUAGUUUUUUAAGGUAGGUUAUUUUAACUUGUGUUUUUGUUUUAGCUUUUAAAGUUAUAUUCUUUUAAAAGUAUUUAUCAUAUUUCCAUCUUGUUACUUUGAAUCCUGGAAUGGCUGUUGAAAAACACAAAAAGUCACACAUCCUUGGGGGACUAAAAAAAUGAAAGAAUGGCUGGGUGUUGUCGGCACAUGCCUUUAAUCCCAGCACUUGGGAAGCAGAGGCAGGUGGAUCUCUUUGAGUUCAAGACCAGCCUGGUCUACAGAUUGAGUUCUGGGAUAACCAGAGGUGUUAUACAGAGAAACCUAGUCUUUGGAGGGAAAAAAAGAGAGAAUGAUGCUCUCUUUUUUAAGAUAAGCACAAUUGGCUUGUAACACUUAGGCAAAACACUACAAGAAUGUCUUAAAAAUAGUCCUGUGUGAUAAAAGUAAAAAUACUUGUACUGCUUCUGGUGACUAAGAGCCUACUUCCGACUAUGAUUUUGAUAAUAUUUAAUCUCCCUUUACCUUCUACAUGUUAAGUAGGGCUAAGGUAAUGCUUGUCUUCAGCGUCAACUCUAAGGAGAAACUGGCUGUGCUGUGGUAAUAAGACUGAGAUUGCUUAUUAAAUGUGUUCUCUUAGCCGA